UUUUAUAAUAAUAUGACUACCCUAUCCUUACAUAAUACAUACAGUCAGCCUGACUCUUCGGUCUUUGCCCUAACCUAACCCUUCGCAUAUAUAUAUAUAUACUGCUAUACAAUCAGUAACCCCUAAUCACACACACCCCUACUGAAGAGUAAAAACUAAAAAGCCUAACCCUAACACUGCCUUGGCUGCGCAGCUUCUUCUUCGAUCUUCUCGGUUCUUCGUCUUCCUCAAUUUCUCCCUUCAGGUGAUCAGGUUAGCUUUAUUUUCAUUUUUUCGCCAAUUUCUUUUUUCCCCAAUUUGUUUCGGUUCUAUUUAGACUUUUAAAUUUUGACGACUGAAUACAAUGGCUGAUGUCGUUCUUAAUCUGUCUAAUUCUCG
rnacentral:lncRNA from 1 species